rnacentral:rRNA from 1 species
CCUACGGGAGGCAGCAGUGGGGAAUAUUGGACAAUGGGCGAAAGCCUGAUCCAGCCAUGCCGCGUGUGUGAAGAAGGCCUUCGGGUUGUAAAGCACUUUCAGUGGGGAAGAAAGCCUUGGGGCUAAUACCCUCGAGGAAGGACAUCACCCACAGAAGAAGCACCGGCUAACUCCGUGCCAGCAGCCGCGGUAAUACGGAGGGUGCGAGCGUUAAUCUGAAUUACUGGGCGUAAAGCGCGCGUAGGCGGUCUGAUAAGCCGGUUGUGAAAGCCCCGGGCUCAACCUGGGAACGGCAUCCGGAACUGUCAGGCUAGAGUGCAGGAGAGGAAGGUAGAAGUCCCGGUGUAGCGGUGAAAUGCGUAGAGAUCGGAAGGAAUACCAGUGGCGAAGGCGGCCUUCUGGACUGACACUGACGCUGAGGUGCGAAAGCGUGGGUAGCAAACAGGAUUAGAUACCCGAGUAGUC